rnacentral:rRNA from 1 species
AGUGAACGCUGGCGGUAGGCCUAACACAUGCAAGUCGAACGGCAGCACAGUAAGAGCUUGCUCUUACGGGUGGCGAGUGGCGGACGGGUGAGGAAUACAUCGGAAUCUACUUUUUCGUGGGGGAUAACGUAGGGAAACUUACGCUAAUACCGCAUACGACCUACGGGUGAAAGCAGGGGAUCUUCGGACCUUGCGCGAUUGAACGAGCCGAUGUCGGAUUAGCUAGUUGGCGGGGUAAAGGCCCACCAAGGCGACGAUCCGUAGCUGGUCUGAGAGGAUGAUCAGCUACACUGGAACUGAGACACGGUCCAGACUCCUACGGGAGGCAGCAGUGGGGAAUAUUGGACAAUGGGCGCAAGCCUGAUCCAGCCAUACCGCGUGGGUGAAGAAGGCCUUCGGGUUGUAAAGCCCUUUUGUUGGGAAAGAAAAGCAGCAGGUUAAUACCCCGCUGUUCUGACGGUACCCAAAGAAUAAGCACCGGCUAACUUCGUG